AUUGAACGCUGGCGGUCGGCCUAACACAUGCAAGUCGACCGCGAAAGCCCUUCGGGCUGAGGAGAGUGGCUGACGGGUGAGUACCGCGUAGGAAUCUAUCCUGUAGUGGGGGAUAACGUUUCGAAACGAACGCUACUACCGCAUACGCCCCAAGGGGGAACGCGGGGGACCUUCGGACCUCGUGCUAUAGGAGGAGCCUGCGUCGGAUUAGCUAGUUGGUGAGGUAAAGGCUCACCAAGUCGACGAUCCGUAGCUGGUCUGAGAGGAUGGUCAGCCACACCGGAACUGAGACACGGUCCGGACUCCUACGGGAGGCAGCAGUGGGGAAUAUUGCGCAAUGGGCGAAAGCCUGACGCAGCCAUACCGCGUGUGUGAAGAAGGCCUUCGGGUUGUAAAGCACUUUCAGUGGGGAGGAAAAGCUGGUGGCUAAUAUCCAUCGGCCGUGACGCUACCCACAGAAGAAGCACCGGCUAAUUCCGUGCCAGCCGCCGCGGUAAUAC
rnacentral:rRNA from 1 species